GAUGAACGCUGGCGGCGUGCCUAAUACAUGCAAGUCGAGCGAACAGACGAUGAGCUUGCUCCUCAGACGUUAGCGGCGGACGGGCGAGUAACACGUGGAUAACCUACCUAUAAGACUGGGAUAACUUCGGGACACCGGAGCUAAUACCGGAUAAUAUAUUGAACCGCAUGGUUCAAUAGUGAAAGACGGUUUUGCGGUCACUCAUAGAUGGAUCCGCGCCGCAUUAGCUAGUUGGUAAGGUAACGGCUUACCAAGGCAACGAUGCGUGACCGACCUGAGAGGGUGAUCGGCCACACUGGAACUGAGACACGGUCCAGACUCCUACGGGAGGCAGAAGUAGGGAAUCUUCCGCAAUGGGCGAAAGCCUGACGGAGCAACGCCGCUGGAGUGAUGAAGGUCUUCGGAUCGUAAAACUCUGUUAUUAGGGAAGAACAAAUGUGUAAGUAACUAUGCACGUCUUGACGGUACCUAAUCAGAAAGCCACGGCUAACUACGUG
rnacentral:rRNA from 1 species